rnacentral:rRNA from 1 species
UGGUGGAGUGAUUUGUCUGGUUAAUUCCGUUAACGAACGAGACCUCGACCUGCUAAAUAGCUCGGUCCACCCUCCGGGGUGGGCGCGCGGCUUCUUAGAGGGACUAUCGGUGCGUAGCCGAUGGAAGUUCGAGGCAAUAACA